GCCCAUGAGUGAUCUUGCCUGAGCUGAGAAGCAAAGCAGGAUCAGGCUUGGUUAGUACUUGGAUGGAAGACUACCAGAGAAUACUGGGUCCUCUAGGCU
rnacentral:rRNA from 1 species